UGCUGAAUUAUUACAUAGAUCGGAGUUUUUGAGUAGCAAAUAAGAGUUCACAAAAUAAAAUGCAGCGGAUAAUCGAUGUCGUCGGUAUCGAGGAAAUGGGCAAGGCCUAGCCCACUACUCCUCGUGCUCCUCUCCUGCCUGAGCAACAUCCCACUCGACCGUCCAACCCGGUGGCAGGGUGGUAGGCCAAGUCACACCAUCAACCAUUUCCUGAAUGGUACCUGCAAAAAUUAUGCCACAAGCAAGGCUGAGUAUACUAAUACUCAGCUAGACUUAACCGGUGUGAGGAGUCUACUCCUCUACCUCUAGACUAUGUAGCUGUUUGGCUGAGGGGUUUGGUUUGCCAAAAGCACUAGCUGUUUCUAAAAUCAAUUUUUAGCUUUUCAAAUUCUAUCCUCAUUAACUUAGCUAGAUUUGCUCCUUCUAAGCAUACAUGGUAACAAGCAUUUAGUUCAAUCAACAAAUUAUCUCAGGUAACCUCAUUUCACUUCUUACUCGAUGUAGUACAAGGGAUCAAGCAGUCUCAUUAGCUGCGAGAAGCAGACGAUCCGAAUCGAGUUUUAACCUUGCAAGGUAAACCUAAACACACGGCAUGUCAGGGUACUCCGACCCCACACAUGACAACCGUCCCCAUCGAUUCCCCGUUCGCGUCCAGGCCUCACCCCCUUGGCAUACAAUGCUCCACUGACCCCGGCUGCCGCCGUGCAGUGACCGCACUUGUACCCACUAUAGCUAGCAUGGGAGACCCAGUCUCAGGUCGCAUGAGGGAUAAAGUCCGCACCCGGCUUCACUCAGGUACUAGGUUUACCGGUUACCAUUUUUCCCGGCAUGUGCUUAGUACGUUCAAAAGCUUGACUCAAGUAUCCACACAUUAAUCCUUAAUUCCUUUUUCCCGUCUCAUGGACAAGGCAUCCUCCCUGGAUCCAAGUCCCUAGACUAACAUAUAUCCCGUUAUCAAGAUGAAUACAAUCAAUUCCUGACCUCGCGCGAGUGCUAGAAAAAUCACUCGACUUCUACCGAGAUCCUGAUUAGCAAGCAACUACUCGACCUAGCAUACUAGUAUUCAUCUCAAAAAGGAAUCCUAAGUUCAUGCAACUAGAGGUUUCAAGCAACUCCUACACUUAAGUGCACAUUACAAUCCUACAAGCAUUAAGUGUAGUAAAGUAGCAUAUAAUAAUACGGUUAAGCAUAAAACCGGGGCUUGCCUUCAAUUGCUGGGGCUGCAGGGAGAUCCUCAAUAGCAGCCUCGGAAGCUUGCUCCUGGUCCUCCUCUUGGACAGAUCCUUGCUCGGGGAUGAGCACGUACUCUCCAUCGGCAAGAUUACAAUCUAAUGAAUGCAAUGCGUAAGAUACAUGCAUGAUAUGAUAGGUGCUUUAGAAAUUACAACUUUUGACGGUGUAUGAUCUACUUGAGUUAAACAAGGUUAACUUUACUUAUGUAAGACCCUUGGGUGGUAUACUUGGUAAAUUGGGUCAAACUUUAUCUAAGGUAAGUGGUAGGUUUAUUUUUGGGGUUCCACUGAAUUCUUUUUAAGCCUUAGUGAGAAUUGAUAAGUACUCAAAUUAGACUUAUUGGGGUGAGGUUUAUUUCUUCUUUCCUUUUCUUUUAUUCUCUUUAAUGUUUUGGAGUGGGUUUGGAACUACAAGUUGCUUUAAUAAAAUUCCAAAAAUUCUGCAAAAAUUACAGUGGCUUGGUACUGGUGUAUAUUUCUAUUUCUCAAAAUUUGGGGAUCAUAAAGUGAAUAGUUUCCUCUGGACAAAAUUAUCAAAGUUUAGGGCAGAAGGGGUGCUUUGAACUACAACUAUUAUUUAACAGUGGGUAAUUCUCUAAAACUUAUUUUUGCUAGCUUUUAGGUGCUAUAACAUGACUUGAUACAAAUUUCUAGCCAUUAAUACCUUUUAGCUAUUUUACUAUGGUUUUCUCAAGUUUCUAGCCAAAUAGGUGCUUUCUACUACCACUAUAUUUGAAAAAUAUCAAACAACAGAGUUCUUAUUUUUCUUAGUUUUUGUUUUGCGCAAGAGCAAUCAUUCUGAAGUUUGGCAUCUUUUUGCUUAAGGGAAAGGGUGGUAUGCAUUAUUUGGAUUAAGUGGCCUUUCUCAUAAUUCAUUAGCAAUAGAUAUGAGUUUGCUCCUUUUUCAUGGGUUUGCAUUUUUCUCUGGUGGUUUAUCUCAUUAUGGACUUAGCAAAUUUUUUGGUUGCCCAUUAUUACAUCAUUAGGGGUUGUUCAUGAUUUAUUUGGAAAAUGCCUCAUUAUCAUUUUAUAUUUAUUUUUCUUACUUAAAAUGUUGGGCUGAGGUGUUCAUUUUUGUUGCAGUGGGGCUCUGAUGGUUGUAAGUCCACUGGAUUUUUAUUAUCCAUUUUGGGCAUAGUUUUGUAAUUCUACUAAUUGAUUUUCAGUUCAAAUAACGCUAAAUAAAACAUUUUAAUUUAAAACUGAUCUGGACUAAUGGUCUCUUUAUUUUUCCUAGGUUCUUUGUUACUUAAGCAAACCAGGAAAAAUAAUUCUGAUCAUUGUUCAUUAAUUUCUAAUGCCUUUCUGAUUUUUCCUAAGUUUUGGGCAAAAUAGCUUUAAAUGAAAAUCUACACUAUAUUCUUCAAUACUGGGGUUCCUACUAUUUUUAAACAGUGCUUAAGUGAGGUUUGAACAUCUACAAAUUUUCUUAGGUUCAGCACAGAAGAAAAACUAAUUUUCCUUAAUUAAACAAGGUUUGGUCAGUUUCUGUUUUUAAUUUUAAACUCUAAAAUUUAGAACAGAAAGCAUAGGGUUUAUCAUUUUUAAAUGAUAGUUCAUAAUAUUUAGGAUCUAGCAAAAUUAGUUUGACAACUUUUGAUUAAGAAUUCAUCAAGUUAUGGAUUUUCUAAGUUCUCUGGUCAUUUAAAAAGAUUAACAGAAUUGAUUAAAUGGAAAACUACUUUGCACUGGGGUCCCUGGCGGGUGUUUUAAGUUUUCUUCGCGGAUCAGUCCCUGGGCUACUAUUCAAAUGAGUCACUAACGUUACAGAAAACCCCUCGGGUUCUUCUAAUCCUAACCCGAGGUCCUUCUCCUAACUUAAACAGUAACCGCGGCGGAAGAAAGGGCGGAGGGGCUUACCGGCGGCGAGAUUGCUCCGGUGAAGUGGUCGAGGAUGUAGGGGAGGUCUCGGGGAUCACAACGGUGUGCGGGUCGCCGUCGGGGAUGGUCGGAGUUGGCCGGUCCACGUGCGCAGGCGGGGAUGCUCGUCGGCAGCGAGGAGUCUGGCCUGCUCACGGCGAGAUAGUUCAAUUGAACGGGUCAGAGAGCUUCACGGGAUGCCAGAGAAGAUGUGGGUGCAAGGAAUUGGACAAAGACUCACUGGUUAGCUCUGUCCACGCGCAGUGGCAGAAGACCGAAGUCCGGUGAAGUCGAUCUCGGGCUUCCGGUGAAGUCCGGCCUGGUCCGAGGGCUUGGAAAGCUUCACGGGCCACUAGCGGAGCUAGCCGAAGCACUGGCUCGACUUGGGGGUGGCUGGAGUGGGCUGGCCACGAUGGCCGAAGCUCUGGCGGCAAUGGCGGGCAGAAAUGAGCUCAUCGGAGCUAAGGAGGGGUGGCUGGCCGGUGCUGGUGAGCGCGGGGUGAAGUGAGGCGCGCCCGGGGAGGCUUUAUAGGCGCGGGCGAGCACGGCCGAGGGCGGGGCUCUGACAAGCGCUCGGGGCGUGCGCGGCGAACGCCAGUGCGCGCUCUGGCGCCUGGCACAGCGUCGAGCACGAGGCAGCGCAGAGAGAGGUCAAGUUCAAGCGCGGAUUGGGCCCAAAUCUUUGAGAUUAUGGCCAUGAUCCCGUUGAGAGAUCUCUUCCUCUCAGGUCCCUUUGUCGUUUGUGUGUGGAGGCUAGCAAGUUUCGCUGACUUGAUUAAGAGAUAGAGAGGGGAGAAAUCUUGUUUGUCUCACUUCCACACACAGGGAGAAGAUCUCUGGUUUGACGUGUCCGAGGCACGCGUCCCAAUGCCAUCUCCUGGCACAUGACAGAGGGGUUAGUUAGGCACAUUUUUGUUAAUGGGGCCAUUAGGAUUCGAGUUAGGGAUCAAGGUGAACAUGCUUGAUCUUUGGCUCAAGGUCUAAAUUUCAGAAUUCUGAAAUUCAGAAUUCCCAUUAAGUCCCCACAUGAGAAGCUUGAUUUGGGGUUUUAUUUGAGUUGUUUUGGCCAAGCUUUCUCAACCUUUCUUGUUGCUUAAUGAAUAUACUUCAAUGUUUAUAAUUGGCUCAAGCCAUGAUUUUAAAUUUUUCAUACCCUUUUCCUUAUUUUCUUGAAUUUUGCUCAUGGGGCUCACUUAGGGUUUUUAUUAGGGUUGCAACAUUAUUACCUUUUUGAAAGACCCAUUUGUUUUGAUCAUGAUACUUUUAAGUAUAUGCUUGGUAGAUUCUUUACUCUUAAGUUAAUUUGAUGCUCAUGCUUACUUUGGUUCACAUAAAAUGAUGGUUCUUGGUUUGGCAUUUUAAGAGAAACCCUAGGUGACACUGGGGUGUCACACAUAUGAUGUAGAAUUUAAAUCCGCUGUGCUUUACAUUUGCAUACUCAUAAGAUCUGUGCUUCUCCUGUCUGUAGAAUAACUGUGUACAUGCUAGGGGCAAACUUGUUAGAAUCUCUGUUUGUUUUGUCAUUUAAUCACCAAAACCCUCAAUUAGGGUUGAUUGCACUUACACUAAGAUUUGUCUGCCUCUCAAUGUCUCUUUGAAAUAUUGGACCAUAUGUGACAUGAGGAUGAAAGAGUCUACGCCUAAGCCAUGCAAACAACCAACAAGAUAUAGCAACAAUCAAUGUCGAUGCUCUCAACUUCAGCAAAUGACGAUUUGGACCCAACAUAUUUGAAUAAAUAAGAUAAGGGGAUUGUUGAAUGAGAAAAAAAUGUACUCUGCUCAAAUUGAAAAAAACAAGCUAGAGUUGCUACAUCUAAUGAUGUUCCUCCAAACUGGCUUGGUAAGAUCACUACUCUGCUCAGAUUGAAAAAAACAAGCCACGGUUGCUACAUCUAAUGAUGUUCCUCCAAAUUGGCUUGGUAACAUCACUAAAAAAUUGUACUAUGCUCAGAUUGAAAAAAAUCACUAAGAAAUUGAGAUCUACUCAGAUUGAACAAAAAAUAUCACUGAAAAUUUGUGGUCUGCUCAGAUUGAAAAAAAACAUCACUCAAAAAUUGUGGUCUGCUCAGAUUUACAGAAAACAUCACUGAGAACUGGUCCUAAGCUCAGACUUUAAUUAAUUUCAUCACUCGAAAACGAUCAGGAUAAAAAGAAGAGAGUUAUAGAGGUAGCUGCAUAAUAAAAUGCAUUAACCACCUGCAUAGUAUAAAAAGAAUAUAGGUAUGGAGGUAGCUGCAUAAUAUAAUGCAUUAACUACCUACAUAGUAUAAUGUAUUAACUAAAUGGAUUAACACAAGGUAAGUUUGUUGUAAGGGAAGAGGAAAACAGGAUCAGAUGAAGGUAAGAGGGGGAGAAGAAAAAAGGAACAACUAACUACUUAAUAUAAUAGACAGAUUAUGCUAAUUGCAUAAUCCAUCACAAAUAAGCAUGUACACUUAACUGAACAUAAAAUCAUGACAUCAUUUUAUAAAAUGAACAUAAGGGCAUAACAUUAUUUUACAAAUAAGAAAAAUAUUAUUAAGUGUAGUUCAACACAUCACAAAUAAAAACAUUAUUUUUAAGUUCAGUUAAAAGUCAAGAAUAGACAUGCAUAUUCUUCUUAAGCACAUCACAAAUAAGCACAUUAUUCUUAAGUAUAUUUCAGUACAUCACAAAUAAGCAUGUACCUAACUAAACAUAAAAUCAUGACAUCAUUAUUUUACAAAUAAGCACACUAUUUAUUAAGUCAUAGCUCUCUCCAUUUUAAGUUCAGUUAAGCCAAGAAUAAUUAGCACAUAUUUUUAUACUAUGCAUGUAGUUAAGUGUCACACCCGGUUUUGGAGGUAAACCGAAUGCGAACUAUGUACGUGCCAGGAUCAGAAAUUCACGUACACAGCGAUUACAUAAAUGACUCAUCAUAGCACAAUGCUUCGUAUUACAAUAAAGAGUAAGUAAUGAUAUUAAAGACUAGAGUCAUUUACAUAAUAUAAAUCAAAGUACACAGAAUCGAAACGUAGCUAACGUAAAUAAACCCACCACAGGCAGCUGACUGGGGGAGGUCGCUAGCCUAAUCCUCGAACUCGUCGACGUCGUGGAACUACCAGAGAUCCGCCUCGACAUCGUUCUCCUUCUUCUUUACCUGAGCAUAGAUUGCACCAAAGGCAACCUGGUGUUUUGUGAAAGCAAGGGUGAGUACACAUCAACGUACUCAGCAAAUGUCCCGUUUGGCUGUAGUGGACUAGCUUUAUGUGGGGUUAAGUCAAGCAGUUGCUUUUAGUUGGUCAGGUUAUUAUUACUAGUAGAAAGCCAGGUUUUAGCAUUAACCCAAGUUCUUAACCCAAAGUACCCUUUCCAAACGGAAAGAAUACCACUUACCAUUACCAUAGUCAUAAUCAUAACCAUCCUUCUCAUCACCACAUGUAAACCAUAUAUCUCUGAUCAAGUAUCUCUAAUCAAAGAGGAUCCCAAGGCCGCUCAUAACCGUGAGCACGGCUGAUAUAUCAGUUUCAUUACCCUCUGCAGAGGUCGCACACUUUACCCAUGAGCCGUGAUUCCCGUUUUGCCCGGGGAUCAUGACUCCCCAUUGAUCACUUCCUAGGUGGUCCGGCAGGGUAUCACUACGUAGCUUUUACAAAGAUUCCCUAGAGGUCAUAGUCGCCCGUUAGGUUUCUCCAGUUUGAUAAACACAGUACUCCUCCCCGCAGGAGGGUGACUAACAAAAGCAAAACGAAAGGACCUCGGCACCCAGCCUCGGCAGAGCAAGCACUGUGCCUGGACCCCAUUAACGGCACGACGGCGAAGCGACUACACCUCUAGUUCCUCUAAUUAAUUAGCUAAGGGCACCCCAUUCCACCCUCAUGGUUGCACUGUUAUCCCGGGUGGUCUCUCAACGAACAGGUCCUUACGGAGAGGUACUCAGGAAACAGCCUGAGUCCCCUAAAUGCCACAAGUAUAUCAUCAUAUCCAGGAUAAAAUCAUAGUAUCAUCGUUGCAUCUCAUCAUGUUCAUUGAUUAAAGUAAAGCGCUAGCAUGAAGCUAACCAUAGUAGCCCAAAAGGUAAUCAAGGACCAGGUAAAUAGAAAGCUAGUAAAUCCUUAGGUUUCAAUUAAGUAGUGCAGGACAGUGAAUUAUAAAUAGAUAGGACAUAAUGGGUCAGAGGACACUUGCCUUCACCAAACAGAUGCUCAGGGUCUUCAACCUCGUGGAACUCGAAUAGCUAGAUUACUUGGUCGCCGAAGCUUGGCCAUCGAUUCCUCGAAGCUCGGAAAUGGAUCGCAGUCUAUUCACGACGCACAACGAAUACAAACAGGCACAAACAAACAAUCAUAUAUAUGCAUAAGAACAUUACACCAUUCAAGUAAAACAUAAUAAAAUAUGCAAAAUAGAAUAUAGUGUGUUACUACGGUCACACGAGGACAAAGAAACGCGAUAGUUGGAGAUAUGGUCGAGAAGUUAACGGGUUUACGCUAAGCAAAUAUUAAUUGGAAUAUUUAAUCUGAUAUCUCUAUAUUAAUUGAUAUUAAUUAAAUGUAAAUUAACACUACUACUUAGUUCUUGUCUAACCUAACAUUUUAAUAGUUGAUGGUCAAAUAAGUAACUAAUUAAUUCACAUGAGUAAUUAUAAACGAAUGGUUUAAUCUCGCGUGCGGCAAGGCGCGUGACACACGCGAACGGUGCGCGACAACGCGCGAGUAGCAUGAUAGCGCGCGAACGAUGCAUGACGACGUACGAACACGCGCGAUCCUCAUGCGCGACACGCGAGAAUCACUAGCAGAUAUCAUGUUUAUACUAAGUGAGUAUUAGUUGAAAAACAUUUGAGUAUACAUUAAUCACGUAUAUUUAUACAAGCACAAAUUAAAACUACAAUUUAGUUUUAAUCAAAUUGCUAUUUUAAUGACUAACGGAUAAACAAACAAACAAUUAAUUAAUUUAUUAAACUUGCGUCUAACAGAAUAAAUCGUUAAAUAUUAUAUAUCUAAAAAGUUAAACAAACCUUUAUAAUGGGACUACGGAUAGAGUACUUGGAUGUGCAUGAUACGUAUACAAAUACCCCGUCUCUUAUACCAUUGUGCAGCAAGCUAUCAACAGGAAAUUAUCACGUUGCCUGAGACUUGCCGAUACGUAUCUAUAUGGAGUACAUACAACACUCGGCUACCUUUGUCUGCCAACGGCAGGGGGGUCGCUCGGCCAGCAGGGGCCAUGCCGGCUCGCCAUGGCCGGCUCCCUGUUGUGCAUUGCAGGCACUGCGAGGGACAGCGAGGUUGGCCGGAAUGCAGGUUUGGGACGUGCAGACGACAUCCAUGGCCUAGGCUCGUGCUUGUACCAAGGGGCUUCGGCGAGGUGUGGGAAUGAGACUAGGGGGGUUGGCUGGACGGAUCCGUCGGCAAUGGGCUUCGAGACAGGCGUCCGUGGGAGGGGCUUCGUUGGGGGAAAGGGCUGCUACACGUCGCCGGAAGGAAAAGGGAGAAGAGAAGGCUUACCUGCGUCGCCGGUAACCGAACGGGCAUGCUCGUGUGAUCUGGGUCUCGGGAAAUCGGAGGCGGUUUGGCGAUUGGAAACAAGAGGAGGGAUGUCCCCGUACCUGGUAAGUGUUGCCCUUCACGGCCUGCGAUCUGGAUCUAGGCGAGACGAGGGGUUAUGCGACGGCUAGGGAUGUUUUUAUAGACAAGAUAGGAUGCGAAAGGCGGUUGCAAAAUUUGUCGCAGAUCACGUCCUGGUCGAGCGAAAGAGAC
rnacentral:lncRNA from 1 species